UACAGAGGUCCCAAGCGUUGUUCGGAUUCAUUGGGCGUAAAGGGUGCGUAGGCGGCUUUGUAAGUCAGUGGUGAAAUAUGGCAGCUCAACUGUCAAGGUGCCAUUGAUACUGCGGAGCUUGAGUACAGAUGAGGUAGGCGGAAUUGACGGUGUAGCGGUGAAAUGCUUAGAUAUCGUCAAGAACACCUAUAGCGAAGGCAGCUUACUAGGCUGUAACUGACGCUGAGGCACGAAAGUGUGGGGAUCAAACAGG
rnacentral:rRNA from 1 species